GUUCACAGUGACACCGGCAGCGGUCGUCAGACACUGUCGCCAGAACAUCGGCCGACAGGGUAGUCAUAGUGUUUCAUAUCUCCUUCGUCAGUUUUUGGCAUAGUCAAGAAGCUUGGAUAUGAGUGCUGCUUAGUGGCUUCUGCAAUUAAAGAGACGCCGAAUGCGUGUGGAUGAGCUUUCCUGACUCAUAAAGAACACGAAUGACGACACAGAGGACACAGAAACAAACGAUGAAGAUGCAAAUCAGCCUUCUGAAGAAAAUGCGUCUCAAACACCAACUACGUCUCAUGAGCAAACACAGAGAAUGAGAAUUACUAAACCCAAAAAAAGAACAACUCUGGAAAUGGAGAGAGGUGCUCGAGUUGACGAAGCUCACCAGAUUUUAAAAACUGUUGACAACAGAAAUGAAUGGAGCAUGUAUGGAUAGUUCAUCGGCAAUGAAAUGAGAAAAUUCCCCCUGACAAUACAAACAUAUGUGAAGCAAAUCCUUGCAAAUGUGUUAUUCAAAGCAGCAUUGGGAGCGUAUGAGAAUCUAACUCCCAACAUCACAUUACUAUCAAUUAUCGUAUUGGAAAACAGUUCAGAAAUAAGCGGUCCAGAAGCUAACUACGAAAUUAUAUAAGUUGACAAUGGUACUGGUGAGGGUGAAGAAUUUCCUGAAAUAUCAGGUACAUCAGAAGAGCGCCAUCAAUUUUUGCAAUUUAAACAGUAUCUUAUGUAAUUCUUCAGUACUGAUGGAAUAGCUUCACAUACUUCUGGCACUACAAGGGGAAUAACAGAAUAUGAGACUAUGAAAAAGUAGAUUAGUGACUUGUACGAAUCGUAAUGUGAUCUCCAGUCGAAUUCUUGGUGAAAUAUUGCCUUGGCAAUUUGUAUCUUUCUUUAGAAUAAGAGGUAUAGUUAACUGCAGUAAAUAACUGAAUUCUGGAUUGGACAUUCUCGUAAAAUUACUAAUUAAUGCACCAUCAUCUUAUAACGGUACAGCCUCCCCCUAGAUUCACAUGAAAUAUCUGACACCACCUUUUUUAUGCAUCUGGUUGGUUUUCCGACGAUUCAGUGCUUCCUGGAGACUUUUGUAUGUGUUUUGGAUGCAUUAUUCAGUUCAAUUUGCCAAAAUACAGUUUUUUAUUCUGGAAGGACGUGUAUUAUCGUAAUUGU